rnacentral:rRNA from 1 species
CCUACGGGAGGCAGCAGUUAGGAAUAUUGGACAAUGGGCGAAAGCCUGAUCCAGCCAUGCCGCGUGUGUGAUGAAGGCCCUAGGGUUGUAAAGCACUUUCGUUGGGGAUGUUAAUGACCGUACCCAAAGAAGAAGCACCGGCUAACUUCGUGCCAGCAGCCGCGGUAAUACGAAGGGUGCAAGCGUUGUUCGGAAUCACUGGGCGUAAAGAAUGCGUAGGCGGCUUAACAAGUCGGGAGUGAAAUCCCAGGGCUCAACCCUGGAACUGCUCUCGAAACUGUUUUGCUAGAGUCCCGGAGGGGUUAGCGGAAUUCCGAGUGUAGAGGUGAAAUUCGCAGAUAUUCGGAGGAACACCAGUGGCGAAGGCGGCUAACUGGACGGGAACUGACGCUGAGGCAUGAAAGUGUGGGGAUCAAACAGGAUUAGAUACCCUGGUAGUCCACACCGUAAACGAUGUGUGCUAGUUGUCGGGCAGCUUUGCUGUUCGGUGACGGAGCUAACGUUUUAAGCACACCGCCUGGGAAGUACGGCCGCAGGUUAAAACUAGAAGUAUAGCGNGNGAGNGCGACGACGACGACGACGGAGGAG